CACCGCGGUUAUACGAGAGGCCCAAGCUGACAGACAUCGGCGUAAAGAGUGGUUAAGACUUUCACUUAACUAAAGCCGAACACCUUCAAAGCUGUCAUACGCAUCCGAAGGAAUGAAGACCUACCACGAAAGUAGCUUUACAUCUUCUGAACCCACGAAAGCUGGGAUA
rnacentral:rRNA from 1 species